GACGAACGCUGGCGGCGUGCUUAACACAUGCAAGUCGAACGGAAAGGCCUUUUCGGAGGUACUCGAGUGGCGAACGGGUGAGUAACACGUGGGUGAUCUGCCCUGCACUCUGGGAUAAGCCUGGGAAACUGGGUCUAAUACCGGAUAGGACCGCACUUUAGUGUGUGUGGUGGAAAGUUUUUUCGGUGUAGGAUGAGCCCGCGGCCUAUCAGCUUGUUGGUGGGGUAAUGGCCUACCAAGGCGGCGACGGGUAGCCGGACUGAGAGGUUGGUCGGCCACAUUGGGACUGAGAUACGGCCCAGACUCCUACGGGAGGCAGCAGUGGGGAAUAUUGCACAAUGGGCGCAAGCCUGAUGCAGCGACGCCGCGUGGGGGAUGACGGCCUUCGGGUUGUAAACUCCUUUCGCCAGGGAGGAAGCGUUUUGUGACGGUACCUGGAGAAGAAGCACCGGCUAACUACGUG
rnacentral:rRNA from 1 species